rnacentral:lncRNA from 1 species
UGAAUGUUAUUCUUUUUGUAUUUUUGAAGAAGAAGGAUUCGGUAACCAUUCAUAUGAAUGAAGAGGGCUUCGAUCCGUAAAAACUUUUUUCUUUUGAUGGAUUGAUGAAAAGCAUUUGCAUUUUUUCAUUUCUCUUUGCUUGAGUCAGUCAUCUUACUUGCGAUCAUCAAACUGGUCUUUAUUUUCAAAAUUUUGUGAAAUCUGAGUAAUGUCAUACAUCCAAGGUCUAACGCUGGAUAUGAUUAUAUAUUUGACUUUUUCUUUCUUGACAUCAAUGCACACAUACUUGAAUUUAUUGGCAAAAGGAUGGUUUUGAAGAGAAUGAGAGUUGUUUGGAAUGGCUUGGAAAGCUGGGACAAGCACAUGGGCACUACAAUCCUCAAAUGAGUGUCAAGACGAAACACAAUAUAUCAAAAAUUUUGCCCCGGUUUAGCAUUUGGGAAAAUGAGAUGAGAUUUGGAUCCAUGACAAUUAGGGUGAAAAUUUCAAAUGAGAUUUGCAAAGCUGCCCCAGUCUUGAGGUUACGGGUUGAUGAAUUUCAGGGCAAAGAUGCAUGGUGAAAUCCACAAUGUUGCCCCAGUUUUUUUUUUUUGCAAAGGGGUUCCAUUUGGAAGAGGUAGUGGGUAUGAAAAGGAUUGGCUAAAAGGAUGACCCCAAUUGGUUUGAUUUUUCUUGUACAUGUUGCUUGCUAGUUUGCAAGGAGAUCCCCUCUUCCCGAUACAUUACUUUUUCUUCUUCUUUUUUUUUUCAAUUCUUUUCUCUUUUUUUUGUUGUUUUUUUUUUAGACACAUUGAAAGUCAUUUCGCCUUAUCACAAAAUUAAGCUUUAUGAAAAAGUGAACAAACAUUAUCCAAUCUGUGUGGGCUUUAUUAGGCUUGUAACGUGGCUAAGGGCUAAAAGGUAUUGAAAGAAAGGAUAUAAAGGCCCAAAUGAAUGUUUGUUGGUUAUAUUUUUUGAAACAAAGGUUAUCAUCUAGGCANUGCAUCAACCUUUUGACUUUUUGAGCACUUUGUUUUUUUCUUGAACUUCGUUUUUCAUUCUUUUUGCUCGACAUCACUUUGUGAAUUUUUAUUGUUCUUUUUGUUUUUCUUUGCUUUUUAUCCACUCUUCUUGAUGAAUUCUCUUNGUUUGAUUAUUGAGUGCUCUUUAUUUGCGUCAUGAGUCGAUGCCUACCUGAUGACAACCCUUGCUUGGGAAUGAUUUUGAAAAAGAAUUUAUUUUUGGCUCAAACAGGGUGACAACGGAUAUAUUUUUGCUUUUAGGUAAAAACAAGAAGGCCACACAUCAUUUUGAACUCUGAUUGCUUUAUUUUCAAAAGAUUAAUUUUGCAACUGGAUGACCUCAACCUGAGUCN